GCACUUUUAUUUGGUGUGUAUGGCCCUUUAAGACUGUCGGUGGGCAUAUUGGGGCUUAUGGACUCUUUAUGUGACUGGUGCUGGCCCUUUAAACACCUUUUUUGGGACAUCAGGAAGAUUGGGACACUGCCCCUUUAAGGCCGUGUCCCCAGGCUUGUUGGGGACACGGCCCCUUUAAGACGGUGUCCCCUGUGUCCCCAGACCUGGUGCAAACCCUUUGUGCCUGCCUUGCUAUUUCCCACUUGGUUCA